rfam:Danio rerio chromosome 4, GRCz11 reference primary assembly.
GCCCAGAUAGCUCAGUCGGUAGAACAUCAGACUUUUAGUCUGAGGGUCCAAGGUUCAAGUCUCUGUUUGGGCA